GACGAACGCUGGCGGCGUGCUUAAUACAUGCAAGUAGAACGCUGAAGGAGGAGCUUGCUUCUCUGGAUGAGUUGCGAACGGGUGAGUAACGCGUAGGUAACCUGCCUGGUAGCGGGGGAUAACUAUUGGAAACGAUAGCUAAUACCGCAUAAUAGUAGAUGUUGCAUGACAUUUACUUAAAAGGUGCAAUUGCAUCACUACCAGAUGGACCUGCGUUGUAUUAGCUAGUUGGUGGGGUAACGGCUCACCAAGGCGACGAUACAUAGCCGACCUGAGAGGGUGAUCGGCCACACUGGGACUGAGACACGGCCCAGACUCCUACGGGAGGCAGCAGUAGGGAAUCUUCGGCAAUGGACGAAAGUCUGACCGAGCAACGCCGCGUGAGUGAAGAAGGUUUUCGGAUCGUAAAGCUCUGUUGUAAGAGAAGAACGAGUGUGAGAGUGGAAAGUUCACACUGUGACGGUAUCUUACCAGAAAGGGACGGCUAACUACGUG
rnacentral:rRNA from 1 species